GGGCCAGCUCAAAGAAAAGCCCACCGCAGUCCGCAGAGCUACAGUAAAAGCCGCCCAAAGGGUUCGUGGGAACAAAGGUUGGGAUAGAAGGGGAGGAAGAGCAGCAGUGAUUCAUGGUGCCGGUGGCGUACUUCGUGCAGUCCAUGGAGAAGAAGGUCCUGCUUCCUCCUCUUUGUGUCAAUAUAUGCUCAUCUGGGUCAAAAGGAAGCUCAAGCUGCGAUUUUGACGCUUCGAGGAAGAUUUUUUCCCCUUCUCCCUCCGGAAAAAGCUGAUUUUUGAGUGCAUUAGGAGGACUUAAUUCCUGACAAUUUUUUUUCCUCCUAGUUGAAGGCAUCGACAUGAGAUCAGCCGGUUGUAAAACAUAACAAUAGAAAAAAAAAGAGCUACAGAUAUUGCCGGUUGUUAUGAAUUAUGAUCAAAUGCUUAAGUUUUAUUAUGAUUGGAGUCAAAUUUAUAAAUAUUGAUUAUCUAAAGGCUGGAUCAAGGAAGUCAGAUAACUUUUGAAACUGUUGUUUCAGAGUCUGCAUGGUCUCUAUAUGUGUGAUCUGUGGGUCUGUAUUAAUGCAGUUUCUUUUUUUUUGGUUGAUUGUCACCUGAUGCCAACCUCCCAUACCUUGUCUCAAAAUUUCUCUCUUAUUGCCAUUCUUGAAAAAACAAAUUUAGUUUUUAAGUAUGGAUUGUCUACAACAUACCAUUAGAAACGCCAUCUCUACAACAUAUGAAUUAUUUUUACAUAAUUUUUUAAAAUAUUUUGUAUUUAUUAAAAAAUAUUAUUUUUUUAAAAAAGAUGUUUUUUUAGUGAGUUCACCUUAGGCCCCUAAAUAUAUUGGGCCGCCUUUGUUUAUGCAAAAGAUGCUCUUUUUCCAGUUCCUUUGGUCACACUCACGUGCCUGCUUCCAUUUCCCUACCCUCUCGCCGCUACCAGCAUUCACCCAUUUCCAAUUUCC